AGGAUGAACGCUGGCGGCGUGCCUAACACAUGCAAGUCGAACGUCCUGUCUCGCAAGAGGCAGGGAGUGGCGGACGGGUGAGUACCACGUGGGUCAUCUACCGUGAGGUGGGGAAUACCGGCGAGAAAUCGCCGACAAGACCGCAUAGGCUCGAUGCAAGUCGAGCAAAGCUCUUUCGAGAGAGGGAGCGCCACACGAGGAGCCUGCGCCCGAUUAGCUAGCUGGUGGAGUAACGGUUCACCAGGGCGACGAUCGGUAGCUGGUCUGAGAGGACGAUCAGCCACACUGGGAUUGAGAACGGCCCAGACUCCUACGGGGGGCAGCAGUGAGGAAUUUUCGUCAAUGGGGGCAACCCUGAACGAGCAACGCCGCGUGCAGGAAGAAGGUUUUCGGAUCGUAAACUGCUUUUCUCGGGGAAGAGAAUGGACGGUACCCGAGGAAUCAGCCCCGGCUAACUACGUGCCAGCAGCCGCGGU
rnacentral:rRNA from 1 species